UACAGAGGUCCCGAGCGUUGUUCGGAUUCACUGGGCGUAAAGGGUGCGUAGGUGGCGUGGUAAGUUUGAUGUGAAAGCUCAGGGCUUAACCCUGAAAUGGCAUUGAAUACUACUGUGCUGGAGGUUUGGAGGGGGACUGGAAUUCUUGGUGUAGCAGUGAAAUGCGUAGAUAUCAAGAGGAACACCAGUGGCGAAGGCGAGUCCCUGGACAACACCUGACACUGAGGCACGAAAGCUAGGGGAGCAAACAGG
rnacentral:rRNA from 1 species